UGGGGAAUAUUGCACAAUGGGCGCAAGCCUGAUGCAGCCAUGCCGCGUGUGUGAAGAAGGCCUUGGGUUGUAAAGCACUUUCAGCGGGGAGGAAGGCGUUAAGGUUAAUAACCUUGGCGAUUGACGUUACCCGCAGAAGAAGCACCGGCUAACUCCGUGCCAG
rnacentral:rRNA from 1 species